UGGGGGUAUCUAGGUUAUAUCAAGCAUUUAAAGACAGAUAAGCUUGGAUCGAAGUCUGACAAAUGCUUGUUCGUAGGGUAUCCAAAGAAAACUAAAGGGUACUACUCCCUCACUGUAGAACAAAAGGUGUUUGUUAGUAGCUGGAUAGUUUUGCUAAAAAAGGAGUUCCUUGGAGAAGGAGCUAAUGCCUGUAAAAUUAAACUUGACGAAGUUCAUGAGGUCGAAGGAUCGACACGUACAUAAUUGGAUUUGAUUAGUGAAUCAAAUUCAACGCCAAUAGAGGCAUUAUUGAGAAGAUC
rnacentral:lncRNA from 1 species